ensembl:rRNA 5S_rRNA 5S ribosomal RNA
AAACCACCUGAACACCUCUGAACUCAGAAGCUAAG